GGGGAAUAUUGCACAAUGGGCGAAAGCCUGAUGCAGCAACGCCGCGUGAGUGAUGAAGGUCUUCGGAUUGUAAAGCUCUGUCUUUUGGGACGAUAAUGACGGUACCAAAGGAGGAAGCCACGGCUAACUACGUGCCAGCAGCCGCGGUAAUACGUAGGUGGCGAGCGUUGUCCGGAUUUACUGGGCGUAAAGGGUGCGUAGGCGGAUGUUUAAGUGAGAUGUGAAAUACCCGGGCUUAACUUGGGUGCUGCAUUUCAAACUGGAUAUCUAGAGUGCAGGAGAGGAGAAUGGAAUUCCUAGUGUAGCGGUGAAAUGCGUAGAGAUUAGGAAGAACACCAGUGGCGAAGGCGAUUCUCUGGACUGUAACUGACGCUGAGGCACGAAAGCGUGGGUAGCAAACAGGAUUAGAUACCCCCGG
rnacentral:rRNA from 1 species